GGUGAGCAGGGUGGUGGAGGGGGGGUGGGGUGUGGUCGAGGUGGGGCAGGGUGUGGAGGGGAGGGGAGGGCAAAGAACCACGGUCAGUGCUCAGCUCAGGUCUCCGGACGGACCCGACCCCAAGAGGCAGGUCUGAAGGGCUGAGCAGAAAGGGCCCCUCUCUGCCCACAUCCCGCCCGCGCGACCGGGAGACCCGCCGCUGCCGCCGCCGCCGCCCGGCUCCGAGGGAUCCCGCCGGACCGGCCCCUUCCACUGCGGCUCACUCUGCCCUGCCUGGCGCCAGUCCUGGAUCGCCGGCUUCCUAUUUCCACCGGACUGGGCUCCUCUCCACUCACUUUAUCAUCCCGUUCCAGGCUGGCGACUUCGCUGCUGAGCUGAAACUGCUAAUUUCUGUGACCAGCUUUUUUCUUAGCUGUGAUCUGGAUGAAUGAGUAGCUGUCUCACAGAGAUGACAAAAAUAAACUCUAAUCCCCCCCAAAAUUUCCACUACAUCUUUCUCAUGCAUAGAUUUAUGAUCUUCAAGCGCUCUGUGCAAUAUGCAAACUUUUUGUGUCUGUAGAUGUGCUGUUGUUUCCAGAUUUCUCUACAUUGCUGCUUUUCCCUUUCACUCUGCACCCCCCCCCCACCCCCCUACACUGGGAAAUGCAGAAACCGUCUGAUCUCAAAGUCUGCCAAGAUGCCACUUUAUAGUGUCUUGGUGUUUGGGGUUUGGGUCUGACUUGGAAGUCAGGAGUCCUUGCCUAAGAACUGAGUGGCUGAGUGUACAGCGGGGGUGGGGGUAAGUAGACAGAAUAGAGGACGGCUCUUCGCUUUACAUUUACUUCCCUGCAUCAUUCAAGCUUUAUGAUCUUGUUGGAAAACAUAUUUUCUCCAUCAUUUUGUCGGGUUAUACAACCAUCUCGGAACUUCUCUGUCAGCUCUUCAGCAGGAAGGGUUCAAAAGUCACUUUAUUUUUUUAAUUGGAAGAUUAUCCUAUUGUCAGAUUUGCCUUUCAAUUAGGAGUCUGAUUUGCGGGAGCUAGAAUCAAGUGCUAGGAGAGCCAGCUGCAAUUUCACAAAUGUAACCUUUAAACUUUGGAGCUCAUCUGAUAUAUAAGGUCGAUCACAGAGAGCUCACAUUUUUGACCCUGCUUAGCAUGCAAAAUGAACCCCAGCAUGACUCUGGAAUUUUAGCUGUACCAGAGAUUCAUGUGCAUUUUGGUAGAGGACGUGUUCUCUUAGACUUAUCUCAUGAUGAAUUGCGCCCUUACAUUUAUAGCCCUGCAUUUUGGUUGUCAGUGGGGGCUGGAGGUGUCCAAGAAAGGAAGGAAAAAAAAAAAGAAGCAGGAAAAGGAAGGUAGGUAUGCCCUUGAAGAAAAUGAACAUGGAAGAAAGCUGGAUCUGAGUUAAAUUGAGUUUUGCUGGCUAUUAAGUAUAUGAACAUGAUUCAUUCUAACUGAUAUGUGCUCUGAUUAGUAAACAUAUUAAAAAACACAUCAGGGUACUACUGAAAUCCUGCCUUUUAACCUUCCCCUUUGAUUGGUAAAAGAUGGAAGACACCUGCUUAAGGGAGGGGAAAACCUGAAAAUUCUUUGGUUUAGAAGUCAGGAGUUUCCCACUUAACAAUGAUCAACAUUAAUAUGCACAUGGGAUAUUUACUCUUAAAUAGACUAGGCAGGAUCCAACCCAAGCGUUUAUCCCUCACAAUGGUCUUUCUUUAUCAAUAUCCUAGGUUGUUUGAGAGCAAGACUACUUUAUUCAAUCUUGCUGAGAUGCUGUGUUCUCAUAGUCAUAUUUAUAAUAAAAAAAAGCCCCAAUACAUGAUAAGAUAAUAGAAAAGGAUUUUUUUUAUUAGAGCAGGGAAAGGAAAGAGAACAGAUUAUCCAAAUCUCUGGCCUUACUAUUUUUUUUAAAUUUCUCUUAUUUAGUAGAUCUUGAAUAGGAAGACUGUGUAACUGUAAUUUAGUGCCUUUUGGGGGUUCUGUUUCAUUAGCAAUUAAAGUUAUCAAGUGUGUGAAGUGUCACCCAACUUUCAGACACUAAAAGUACAAUUUUUAUGGUAUGCUUUUGAUGUUGAUCUUUUAUGAGCUUCCAAUGACAUAUUUGGAACUAAACCCAAAGGCAAAUUAAGAGUAUUGAUCACUUAAAUUAUUGCCAUCUUUCCAUUUUAUCAUAAGGGAAUUAGAAAUUAAGGUUUUCUAGACCUUGAAGUAUCUUAAUUUUGAAUUUCUACAUAUAUGUAUAUAUAUAUAUAUAUUUAUUGGUGGGAUAUAUUGUUGAUCACUAAUUAUGAUUACUAGGACUUCUGCCAUUUCCAAACAAUAGAAAAGUCACAUUUCAAAAAUUUUAACUACCUCUAAUUUCAAUGCUUAUUUAACAACUUGGGUAGAAGGGAAAGGGGGUGGUUAGGGAUUGCAAUUCUUAAACAGCUGUUAAAGUGGUUAGGCUGCUUUCUUCUGGAUUUUGAAGUUACACUAUUUGAGAAUGUUUUAAAUUCAGAGAAAAAUUACA